rnacentral:rRNA from 1 species
GAUGAACGCUAGCGGCAGGCCUAACACAUGCAAGUCGAGGGGUAUAGGGAGCUUGCUUCCUAGAGACCGGCGCACGGGUGCGUAACGCGUAUGCAAUCUACCUUGUACAGGGGAAUAGCCCAGAGAAAUUUGGAUUAAUGCCCCAUAGUAUUAUUAAAUGGCAUCCUUUAAUAAUUAAAGUUCCAACGGUACAAGAUGAGCAUGCGUCCUAUUAGUUAGUUGGUGUGGUAACGGCAUACCAAGACGAUGAUAGGUAGGGGUCCUGAGAGGGAGAUCCCCCACACUGGUACUGAGACACGGACCAGACUCCUACGGGAGGCAGCAGUGAGGAAUAUUGGACAAUGGGCGCAAGCCUGAUCCAGCCAUGCCGCGUGCAGGAAGACGGUCCUAUGGAUUGUAAACUGCUUUUAUACAGGAAGAAACACUGGUUCGUGAACC